rnacentral:rRNA from 1 species
UACGAAGGGGGCUAGCGUUGUUCGGAAUUACUGGGCGUAAAGCGCACGUAGGCGGAUUUGUAAGUCAGGGGUGAAAUCCCGGGGCUCAACCUCGGAACUGCCUUUGAUACUGCAAAUCUCGAGUCCGGAAGAGGUGAGUGGAAUUCCUAGUGUAGAGGUGAAAUUCGUAGAUAUUAGGAAGAACACCGGUGGCGAAGGCGGCCCACUGGAUCGGUACUGACGCUGAGGUGCGAAAGCGUGGGGAGCAAACAGG